AUGAGAUCUCCCUUCGGUAAGGCCACUCGUAGACCACGAGUUCGAUAGGCCGCAGGUGCAAGGCGGGCGACCGCCUCAGCCGAGCGGCACUAAUCGGCCGAGCUCCU
rnacentral:rRNA from 1 species